rnacentral:rRNA from 1 species
GACGUAGGGUGCGAGCGUUGUCCGGAUUUAUUGGGCGUAAAGAGCGUGUAGGCGGCCGUACAGGUCAGCUGUGAAAACUCGAGGCUCAACCUCGAGACGUCGGUUGAAACCGUACGGCUAGAGUCCGGAAGAGGAGAGUGGAAUUCCCGGUGUAGCGGUGAAAUGCGCAGAUAUCGGGAAGAACACCCGUGGCGAAGGCGGCUCUCUGGGACGGUACUGACGCUGAGACGCGAAAGCGUGGGGAGCGAACAGG